UGGGAAGGCCAUCAUUACUCUCUACUUUGAAAUUAUCAAAUCUUACUUGUCCUCCCCAAACUGCGACAUCUCAUCUCUUCUCUCAGAGUCCGACUGUAACUCUUAAUACCCAUCGUGUGGAGUCGCACGUGCGUCUUCGUCUUCGUCUUCCUCUGAAUAACUUUUCAGUUCGGAGAAAAUCAAACCUGGCAUGAAUGAUUCUUCUUUCUGCGAACCCACGACGAGCUUCUUUCUAUUUGGGCAGCUUCGACAACGCGUCUCGCUCCGAGCUUCUGAAGACACUCAGGGAAUCUCUCGUCUUCUCAGCGUAAGGGCCCUGUUACUUGAAAUUUAGCUAGGUUUACAGAUUGGUUUCAAUGCUGGUUAUAAGUUUAGUAUUGUUUGCUCAUCGGGUGUUGGAGGUAUUCGGAAUCUGGUGUUCCCAGAUUUCUAGUACUGGCUUCGAUGCCUUGGCUUAUUCCCAGAUUUCUAUUGGAAGAACAGAGCAGCUAAUGCAGCUAGUAAUGGAUGGGGAAGUCGACAUCCAGGAAUAGUAUCUAGCCUUAAUUUAACACCAAACUCUCCGAUGAGGUGCUUCAAAGCAUCAAUUCAUGCUUGGUGAGCAGCUUAAGUUUCUUCCUAAUCAAAUCAAAGGGGAUCGAUAAUGCUUUCACCUUGUAACUGAGUAGAGAUGCUUUAAUCGGGAUUUCAUGCCUUAUCUCCAGGAUCUCAUAAAGAUAGAGGAAAGCUUUACUUUUUAUACUGGAGCACCAGCUUUAUGUAUUUCAGUUUUGUGAAUUUCUUUUAUCUUACACUUUGGUUAAAAUGUAUGAUAUUAGUGUUAAAACUAAUUUAACUUAUUCUCACCUCAUUUUAGGAAUCAGUGUUUCACCAUAUUUAUAAAGAAACAAAUGCUAG